rnacentral:sRNA from 1 species
AGCCGGAGUCGCGCCCAUCGCCGCCAAAUCACUGAUGUUCGACGCUAAGGCUUUGUGCGCGACCCAAG